UCAAAAGAGGUCUCUGAAAUUUUAGAGGGUUGUGGUAUAUGAAUCAUUGCUGGAUGAGGAAAGGAGUGGGGGAGGAUCUGCAGUUUCAUGCAGCAUUGUACGAUGGAUUUAUAUGGCUGCCUGACUAGGAUGCUGGUGCCUGCAUACGAGCUGAUGUUCGGGAAGCCAUCCCUCCAUAGACUCUUUGAGGGCUACUUCAAUCAAGCCGGGAGGGUGAACGCAAGGGGUCAUUUUGAAGAUGCU